rnacentral:rRNA from 1 species
UACGGAAGGCAGCAGUGGGGAAUAUUGCACAAUGGGCGCAAGCCUGAUGCAGCCAUGCCGCGUGUAUGAAAAAGGCCUUCGGGUUGUAAAGUACUUUCAGUCGUGAGGAAGGUGUUAAGGUUAAUAACCUUAGCAAUUGACGUUAGCGACAGAAGAAGCACCGGCUAACUCCGUGCCAGCAGCCGCGGUAAUACGGAGGGUGCGAGCGUUAAUCGGAAUUACUGGGCGUAAAGGGCACGCAGGCGGUUAAUUAAGUUGGAUGUGAAAUCCCCGGGCUUAACCUGGGAAUGGCAUUCAAGACUGGUUAGCUAGAGUCUUGUAGAGGGGGUAGAAUUCCAUGUGUAGCGGUGAAAUGCGUAGAGAUGUGGAGGAAUACCGGGUGGCGAAGGCGGCCCCUGGACAAAGACUGACGCUCAUGUGCGAAAGCGUGGGGAGCAAACAGGGAUUAGAUACCCGU